rnacentral:rRNA from 1 species
UACGGGGGGGGCAAGCGUUGUUCGGAAUUACUGGGCGUAAAGGGCUUGUAGGUGGCCAACUAAGUCAGACGUGAAAUCCCUCGGCUUAACCGGGGAACUGCGUCUGAUACUGGAUGGCUAGAGUGUGGGAGAGGGAUGCGGAAUUCCAGGUGUAGCGGUGAAAUGCGUAGAUAUUCGCAAGAACACCAGUGGCGGAAGGCGGACUCACUGGCCCGAUACCGUGACGCUGAGGCACGAAAGCGUGGGGGAGCAAACAGGG